GGGGUAACUUAGAGCCCCCGGGGGUGGCGUGUUAAUAGUGGCGCCUUUGGCCGGGCGCGAUGGUUAGUGAAUC
rnacentral:ncRNA from 1 species